AGUGAACGCUGGCGGUAGGCCUAACACAUGCAAGUCGAACGGCAGCACAGUAAGAGCUUGCUCUUACGGGUGGCGAGUGGCGGACGGGUGAGGAAUACAUCGGAAUCUACUUUUUCGUGGGUGAUAACGUAGGGAAACUUACGCUAAUACCGCAUACGACCUACGGGUGAAAGCAGGGGAUCUUCGGACCUUGCGCGAUUGAAUGAGCCGAUGUCGGAUUAGCUAGUUGGCGGGGUAAAGGCCCACCAAGGCGACGAUCCGUAGCUGGUCUGAGAGGAUGAUCAGCCACACUGGAACUGAGACACGGUCCAGACUCCUACGGGAGGCAGCAGUGGGGAAUAUUGGACAAUGGGCGCAAGCCUGAUCCAGCCAUACCGCGUGGGUGAAGAAGGCCUUCGGGUUGUAAAGCCCUCUUGUUGGGAAAGAAAAGCAGCAGGUUAAUACCCCGCUGUUCUGACGGUACCCAAAGAAUAAGCACCGGCUAACUUCGUG
rnacentral:rRNA from 1 species